ACUUAAGUAGUUUAUUAUAGAAUAACAAUUUGUGGUGUUGUAGGAAUUUUUUAAUCUUAAGUU
rnacentral:tRNA from 1 species